CUCUGCAUUAUCAAAAUUUAAUAAAAUAGUGAAUUAAUACAAUUUUAAAGUUUAUUUAAUCCGUGUGACACAUUUUCACAGGAGAUUCACAUCUGUAUUACCUCAUCUGUGAUGAAACUGACGUCCAAUCCGCGUAAACCUGACGUUUGAGAGACUGAGACUGACGUCCAAUCCGCGUGAAAGACUGGUUACGAGGCUUCAUUGUUUUCACAAUCAAAUGACUGAAUGUUAUCGUUCCAGGUAUAUAUAUAUAUAGAGUUCACUGCCAUUCACUCGUUCGAUCGCUUGUAAACCAUACAUUUGCCAUCGUUCGUUUUCGUUCAUCAUGAGGCAGUCAUGUUGUCUUUGACUAGGAUGACCGACUUGACAACCAUUACAGGAUUCCAC